ACCCGGCUGCAAGCGCUCGGCGCAGUCGUCGCAGCCGCCGACCGGACGGCGCCCGCCUGCAGCCCGGUCCUCUGCCUGCCGGCCGCCCGCCACGGUCAUGAACUAGGAGCUGGCCUCAGGUGUGACCAUGUGACGUUCACAGAGAGGAAAUCUGCAUGAAGCUUCUGAAAGUGUUCCCUCGGAGGAAACGGAAGCCCGCGAGGCCCACGGCCCUCCCUGGGAUCAACCUGUGAGCAAGCAGCUGUCCGCUUCCACUUCCGGCUCUCCCGAAGGAGAGUGCAGGACGGUCCCCGUCAGGGGCGCCGUGCCCUGCUGCAGCGCCCAAUCUGCCUGGUGGCCCGAGUGAAGUUUCCUGGGUGACUCUGCGAUGUGAUCUAGACGCCCUCGCGGCGCAGCUGGGCUUGACUUUGGUGUGGUGGACACGUUCCGGAUGCUCCAGUGCGUGGGCCCUGGUACAGGAUGACACUCUCCUUUUGUCCUUUUGAAAGUCUCACAGGUGUGUAUUUAAUUAAAAUGUCUUCGCAAGA